rnacentral:rRNA from 1 species
AGCACAGAGGAGCUUGCUCCUUGGGUGGCGAGUGGCGGACGGGUGAGUAAUGCAUCGGGAUCUACCCUGACGUGGGGGAUAACCUCGGGAAACCGGGACUAAUACCGCAUACGUCCUACGGGAGAAAGCGGGGGACCUUCGGGCCUCGCGCGGCAGGACGAACCGAUGUGCGAUUAGCUAGUUGGCGGGGUAAUGGCCCACCAAGGCGACGAUCGCUAGCUGGUCUGAGAGGAUGAUCAGCCACACUGGGACUGAGACACGGCCCAGACUCCUACGGGAGGCAGCAGUGGGGAAUAUUGGACAAUGGGCGCAAGCCUGAUCCAGCAAUGCCGCGUGUGUGAAGAAGGCCUUCGGGUUGUAAAGCACUUUUAUCAGGAGCGAAAUACCACGGGUUAAUACCCUAUGGGGCUGACGGUACCUGAGGAAUAAGCACCGGCUAACUUCGUGCCAGCAGCCGCGGUAAUACGAAGGGUGCAAGCGUUAAUCGGAAUUACUGGGCGUAAAGGGUGCGUAGGCGGUUACUUAAGUCUGUCGUGAAAUCCCCGGGCUCAACCUGGGAAUGGCGAUGGAUACUGGGUGGCUAGAGUGUGUCAGAGGAUGGUGGAAUUCCCGGUGUAGCGGUGAAAUGCGUAGAGAUCGGGAGGAACAUCAGUGGCGAAGGCGGCCAUCUGGGACAACACUGACGCUGAAGCACGAAAGCGUGGGGAGCAAACAGGAUUAGAUACCCUGGUAG